CCUACGGGUGGCAGCAGUGAGGAAUAUUGGUCAAUGGCCGGAAGGCUGAACCAGCCAUGCCGCGUGAAGGUCAGUGCCUUAUGGGCGGUAAACUUCUUUUGUUCGGGAGCAAUAAUGGUCACGUGUGGCCAGACGAGCGUACCGUACGCAUAAGCAUCGGCUAACUACGUGCCAGCAGCCGCGGUAAUACGGGGGAUGCAAGCGUUAUCCGGAUGUAUGGGGUUAAAAGGGUGCGGAGGGGGACAGUUAAGUCAGCGGUAAAAAUGCGGUGCUAAACGCCGUACAGCCGUUGAAACUGGCAGUCUUGAGUGGGCGAGAAGUAUGCGGAAUGCGUGGUGUAGGGGUGAAAUGCAUAGAGAUCAAGCAGAACGCCGAUUGCGAAGGCAGCAUACCGGCGCCCGACUGACGCUGAGGCACGAAAGCGUGGGUAUCGAACAGGAUUAGAUACCCGGGUAGUC
rnacentral:rRNA from 1 species